GGUCUGAGAGGAUGAUCCGCCACACUGGGACUGAGACACGGCCCAGACUCCUACGGGAGGCAGCAGUGGGGAAUAUUGGACAAUGGGCGCAAGCCUGAUCCAGCCAUGCCGCGUGUGUGAAGAAGGCCUUAUGGUUGUAAAGCACUUUAAGCGAGGAGGAGGCUACUUUAGUUAAUACCUAGAGAUAGUGGACGUUACUCGCAGAAUAAGCACCGGCUAACUCUGUGCCAGCAGCCGCGGUAAUACAGAGGGUGCAAGCGUUAAUCGGAUUUACUGGGCGUAAAGCGCGCGUAGGCGGCUAAUUAAGUCAAAUGUGAAAUCCCCGAGCUUAACUUGGGAAUUGCAUUCGAUACU
rnacentral:rRNA from 3 species